UGGGGAAUCUUGCACAAUGGGGGCAACCCUGAUGCAGCGACGCCGCGUGAGCGAUGAAGCCCUUCGGGGCGUAAAGCUCUUUCGACCGGAACGACAAUGACGGUACCGGGAGAAGAAGCUGCGGCUAACUACGUGCCAGCAGCCGCGGUAAUACGUAGGCAGCAAGCGUUGUUCGGAGUUACUGGGCGUAAAGAGUGCGUAGGCGGUUUUCUAAGUUCGGUGUGAAAUCUCCCGGCUUAACUGGGAGGGUGCGCCGAAGACUGGGAAGCUGGAGUGUGGGAAAGGCAGGCGGAAUUCCUGGUGUAGCGGCGAAAUGCGUAGAUAUCAGGAGGAACACCGGCGGUGUAGACGGCUUGCUAGACCAUAACUGACGCUGAGGCACGAAAGCGUGGGUAGCAAACA
rnacentral:rRNA from 1 species